rnacentral:rRNA from 1 species
UGAUUAGAUACCCCACUAUGCUUAGCCCUAAACUUAGAUAGUUAUCCUAAACAAAACUAUCCGCCAGAGAACUACUAGCAAUAGCUUAAAACUCAAAGGACUUGGCGGUGCUUUACAUCCCUCUAGAGGAGCCUGUUCUAGUA